rnacentral:rRNA from 1 species
UAGUGAACCAGUACCGUGAGGGAAAGGUGAAAAGCACCCCGGAAGGGGAGUGAAACAGUUCCUGAAACCGUGUGCCUACAAGUAGUUAGAGCCCGUUAAUGGGUGAUAGCGUGCCUUUUGUAGAAUGAACCGGCGAGUUACGAUUUGUUGCAAGGUUAAGCGGAAAAAGCGGAGCCGUAGCGAAAGCGAGUCUGAAUAGGGCGCAUAAGUAACAGGUCGUAGACCCGAAACCAGGUGAUCUACCCAUGUCCAGGAUGAAGGUAAGGUAAUACUUACUGGAGGUCCGAACCCACGCACGUUGAAAAGUGCGGGGAUGAGGUGUGGGUAGCGGAGAAAUUCCAAUCGAACUUGGAGAUAGCUGGUUCUCUCCGAAAUAGCUUUAGGGCUAGCCUCGAGGUAAAGAGUCAUGGAGGUAGAGCACUGUUUGGACUAGGGGCCCUUCUCGGGUUACCGAAUUCAGAUAAACUCCGAAUGCCAUGUACUUAUACUCGGGAGUCAGACUGCGAGUGAUAAGAUCCGUAGUCGAAAGGGAAACAGCCCAGACCACCAGUUAAGGUCCCCAAAUAUAUGUUAAGUGGAAAAGGAUGUGGGGUUGCUUAGACAACCAGGAUGUUGGCUUAGAAGCAGCCACCAUUGAAAGAGUGCGUAAUAGCUCACUGGUCGAGUGACCCCGCGCCGAAAAUGUACCGGGGCUAAACAUAUUACCGAAACUGUGGAUGAACCUCUUUAGAGGUUCGUGGUAGGAGAGCGUUCUAAGGGCGGUGAAGUCAGACCGGAAGGACUGGUGGAGCGCUUAGAAGUGAGAAUGCCGGUAUGAGUAGCGAAAGAAGGGUGAGAAUCCCUUCCACCGAAUAUCUAAGGUUUCCUGAGGAAGGCUCGUCCGCUUAGGGUUAGUCGGGACCUAAGCCGAGGCCGAUAGGCGUAGGCGAUGGACAACAGGUAGAGAUUCCUGUACCAGUGCUAAUUGUUUAACCGAUGGGGUGACACAGAAGGAUAGGGAAUCGCACGAAUGGAAAUGUGCGUCCAAGCAGUGAGUGUGAGAAGUAGGCAAAUCCGCUUCUCGCGAAGCAUGAGCUGUGAUGGGGAAGGAAAUUAAGUACGGAAGUUCCUGAUUUCACGCUGUCAAGAAAAGCCUCUAGGAAGAGUAGUACUGCCCGUACCGCAAACCGACACAGGUAGAUGAGGAGAGAAUCCUAAGGUGAGCGAGAGAACUCUCGUUAAGGAACUCGGCAAAAUGACCCCGUAACUUCGGGAGAAGGGGUGCUCUAUUAGGGUGCAAGCCCGAGAGAGCCGCAGUGAAUAGGCCCAGGCGACUGUUUAGCAAAAACACAGGUCUCUGCAAAAC